ACGCUGGCGGCGUGCUUAACACAUGCAAGUCGAACGAAAAUACCAAGCUUGCUUGGUUGAUUAGUGGCGAACGGGUGAGUAACACGUGAGUAACCUGCCCCUUACUUUCUGGAUAACUGCUCGAAAGGGUAGCUAAUACGGGAUAUUCUGGCCUUCCUGCAUGGGUUGGUUUGGAAAGGUUUUUUCUGGUGAGGGAUGGGCUCGCGGCCUAUCAGCUUGUUGGUGGGGUGAUGGCCUACCAAGGCUUUGACGGGUAGCCGGCCUGAGAGGGUGGACGGUCACACUGGGACUGAGAUACGGCCCAGACUCCUACGGGAGGCAGCAGUGGGAAUAUUGCACAAUGGGCGCAAGCCUGAUGCAGCGACGCCGCGUGAGGGAUGAAGGCCUUCGGGUUGUAAACCUCUUUCGUCAGGGAACAAGGCACUGUCUUUUUGGUGGUGUUGAGGGUACCUGGAUAAGAAGCGCCGGCUAACUACGUGCCAGCAGCCGCGGUAAUACGUAGGGCGCAAGCGUUGUCUGGAAUUAUUGGGCGUAAAGAGCUCGUAGGCGGCUGGUCGCGUCUGUCGUGAAAACUUCCGGCUCAACCGGGGGCUUGCGGUGGGUACGGGCCGGCUAGAGUGCGGUAGGGGUAACUGGAACUCCUGGUGUAGCGGUGGAAUGCGCAGAUAUCAGGAAGAACACCGAUGGCGAAGGCAGGUUACUGGGCCGUUACUGACGCUGAGGAGCGAAAGCGUGGGGAGCGAACAGGAUUAGAUACCCUGGUAGUCCACGCUGUAAACGUUGGGCACUAGGUGUGAGGCUCCUUUCCGGGGGUUUUGCGCCGUAGCUAACGCAUUAAGUGCCCCGCCUGGGGAGUACGGCCGCAAGGCUAAAACUCAAAGGAAUUGACGGGGGCCCCACAAGCGGCGGAGCAUGCGGAUUAAUUCGA
rnacentral:rRNA from 1 species